rnacentral:rRNA from 1 species
AUUGAACGCUGGCGGUAUGCCUUACACAUGCAAGUCGAACGGUAACAGGUCUUCGGAUGCUGACGAGUGGCGAACGGGUGAGUAAUACAUCGGAACGUGCCUAGUAGUGGGGGAUAACUACUCGAAAGAGUGGCUAAUACCGCAUGAGAUCUACGGAUGAAAGCAGGGGAUCGCACGACCUUGUGCUACUAGAGCGGCCGAUGGCAGAGUAGGUAGUUGGUGGGAUAAAAGCUUACCAAGCCGACGAUCUGUAGCUGGUCUGAGAGGACGAGCAGCCACACUGGGACUGAGACACGGCCCAGACUCCUACGGGAGGCAGCAGUGGGGAAUUUUGGACAAUGGGCGAAAGCCUGAUCCAGCAAUGCCGCGUGCAGGAUGAAGGCCUUCGGGUUGUAAACUGCUUUUGUACGGAACGAAAAGCCCUGGGUUAAUACCCUGGGGUCAUGACGGUACCGUAAGAAUAAGCACCGGCUAACUACGUGCCAGCCGCCGCAGUAA